rnacentral:tRNA from 20 species
GCGUCCUUAGCUCAGUUGGAUAGAGCACUCGCCUUCUAAGCGAGCGGUCAGAGGUUCGAAUCCUCUAGGACGCGCCA